rnacentral:tRNA from 1 species
AGGAGCUUAGGAUUAAUGAAACCAGGGGCCUUCAAAGCCCCAAAAAAGAGAUAUAAUCUCUUAGCUCCUG